rnacentral:lncRNA from 1 species
GAUCACUGCUCACUGCAGUCUCAGCCUUCCAGGAUCAGGUGAUUCUCUCACCUCAGCCUCUUGAGUAGCUGGGUAAUAGGGAGAUGCUGAUCAAAAGAUAUUUUAGGAAGCUAUUAUGAAUCUUCUUUCCUCAAGAUGAAACUCCUUGUUGGCUCAACUGCUCUUCACAGAUGCAUAAUUUUGGAGUCCAUACACCACCCUGGUCACUCUCUUUAGAAUACACUCCAGUUUUGUACAUUUAUUCUAUUUUCAACUGUAUGUUAAUUUUAAAGUACAGCAUGCAACAUGAAAAUUAACAUGCACACAAUGAGAGGAGCUGUGUUAGGCGAAGGAGCUUAUUGAUGAUUACUUUGCUUUUUCAAAAAUUGUGUUUAAUGUUGGCAUAUACCCCAUCUUCCAUAGAAAUAAAGUAGGGUGUUCAGGAUCUAAUUUCAAAUGUAGACUAGUAAUCUCAAAGUGUAAUGGGACAAUUAUAUCCCUUGUUCAGGAGACAAAAUUGCUCCCAAAACCUUCUUUUGUUCUGUUUUUUCAUGGCAUAUUUUAAGCUUAAAACCCUAAAGGUUUUGUUUUGUUUUGUUUUUAAGUGUCUGCUUGUGAGCCCUGUCUCCUCCAUCCUGGGUUUAAGCCAUUGGUUUUUUCUGACCUAAGAAAAGCACUUAACAUUUGUCCUUGUUUAAUUUCAUCUUGUUAGAUUCAGCUCAUUGCUCUGGGCUGUCAAGAUCAUUUUUCAUCAUUAUUCUGUCAUGCAGUCAUCUGCCUGCUCCUCCCAGUGGCUGGUCACCCACAGGCCAGAGGUGCAUGCCCGCCACACCUUUCUCACACAGUGCUGGAGGGAAGCCACAGGGAACCCCUGUCCAGGUGACAUGACAGAGCUGACAGUCAGCAUCCUUUAGGGGACGUUCUGCAGCCAGUUUAGAAUGUAUCUAGUUGUCUUUGUGUUAUUUUAACCAAUUUUUCUUUUUAUGGUCCCUAAAGGUAAUGAGAAAUAGGCAGCUGAUUAAGUUUACCAUUUUUACUUCUCUGCCAGGAAGCUCAGAGUAUGGGUCAACGGUCCAUUUUUAAUGGGUCUAAGCCACUUUUAAAAUCUAGUAAAAAUAAAAUAAUAACACAUGAUAUAUUAGGGUUCUCCAGUAAACAAAACCAACAGGAGAUAGGUAGAUAUAGAUAUAGAUGUGCCUAUAUAGAGAAAUGUAGUACUCCCUUCCUAUCCGUGGUUUCAUUGUGGUUUUAGCUAUCUGUAUCAGCCAUGGUCUGAAAAUAUUACAUGGGAAAUUCCAGAGAUAAACACUUCAUAGGUUUUAAGUGUGCCCUUUUCUGAGCAUGGUAAAAUCUCGUGCUGUCCCACUCCAUCCCACCUGGACAUGGGUCAUCCGUUUGUCCAGCGUAUUCAUGCCAUAGACACUCUCUACCCAUUAGUCACUUGGUGGCCACGUCAAUCACCAGAUCAACUGUCUCAGUAUUGCAGUACUUGUAUUCAAAGAAGCCUUUUUUGAUUUCAUAAUGGCCCCAAAGCCCAAGAAUAGUGAUGCUGGCAAUUCGGAUAUGCCAAAGAGAAGCUGUAAAGUGCUUCCUUUAAGUGAAAAGAAGAACAUUCUCAACUUAAUAAGGAAAGAAAAAGAAUCAUAUACGGAGGUUCCUAAGAUAUAAGAUAAGAAUAAAUCUAUCUGUAAAAUUGUACAGAAGGAAAAAGAAAUUCAUGCUAAUUUUGCUGUCAUACCUCAAACUAUAAAAGUUAUGGCCACAGUACAUGAUAAGUGCUUAGUUAAGAUGGAAAAGAUAUUCAAUUUGUAGAUAGAAGAUGUGAACAGAAAUAUGUUCCGAUUGAUGACAAUCAGGUUUGGUACUAUCUGUGGUUUCAGGUAUCCACUAAAGGUCAUGGAAUAUAUACCCCUUGGAUAAGGGGGAACUACUGUAUAGAUAGAGAUGGAGAUGGAGAUAGAGAUGGAGAUGGAGAUGGAGAUAGAAAUAGAGAGAGAGAGAGAUAGAAGUAUAGGUAUACCUCUCUUUGUGCUUUGCAAAUGUGUUUUUUACAAAUUGAUGGUUUGUAGCAACUGUGUGUCGAGCAAGUCUAUGAGUGACAGUUUUCCAACAGCAUGUGUUCACUUUGUAUCUUUGUGUCACAUUUUGGUAAUUCUCACAAUAUUUCAAACUUUUUCAUGAUUAUUGUAUCUGUUAUGAUGAUCUCUAAUCAGCGACCUUGUUGUGACUAUUGUAAUUCUCUUGGUGCACCAUGAACUGCACUCAUGUCAAAUGGCAAACUUAAUCAAUAAAUGUAUCUGUUCUGACUGCUCCACCAACCA